CUUCAGGGCAGGGUGCAAUUCCCGACCGGCGGUACAGCCCGCGAACCGAAAGGUUGAUUUGGUGUGAUUCCAAAGCCGACAGUAGAGUCUGGAUGGAAGAAGGA
rnacentral:ncRNA from 1 species